GAUUAUCUUUUCUCAUCUCAUGACGUAUUUCAUAGCCCCGUGCUUGUUCGCGGAGCCUUGUAACGCGUCAUGAAAUAGGAAGAGGCAAUC